rnacentral:rRNA from 1 species
AUUGAACGCUGGCGGCAGGCCUAACACAUGCAAGUCGAGCGGAUGAGGGUAGCUUGCUAUCUGAUUCAGCGGCGGACGGGUGAGUAAUGACUAGGAAUCUGCCUGGUAGUGGGGGACAACGUUUCGAAAGGAACGCUAAUACCGCAUACGUCCUACGGGAGAAAGUGGGGGAUCUUCGGACCUCACGCUAUCAGAUGAACCUAGGUACGAUUAGCUAGUUGGUGAGGUAAAGGCUCACCAAGGCGACGAUCGUUAACUGGUCUGAGAGGAUGAUCAGUCACACUGGAACUGAGACACGGUCCAGACUCCUACGGGAGGCAGCAGUGGGGAAAAUUGGACAAUGGGCGAAAGCCUGAUCCAGCCAUGCCGCGUGUGUGAAGAAGGUCUUCGGAUUGUAAAGCACUUUAAGUUGGGAGGAAGGGCAGUAAGUUAAUACCUUGCUGUUUUGACGUUACCGACAGAAUAAGCACCGGCUAACUUCGUGCCAGCCGCCGCCGUAAGAC